AUACUGUUUUUUCUUCAGAUCACAUAAAUCUUUUGCCUUUUACUAAAGAUUUCCAUGGAGAAGAACAGUUUACUACUUUCUGCAUGCUGUUUAUUUGUAUAGUU
rnacentral:snRNA from 1 species